GGGAAGCCUAGCCCCGUAGUUUAACACCCGAACCACCUUGACCUUUCCAGCAGUUUAAUCCAUUCAUUCCUAGGUUGCAAGGUAUAUGGAGUUUGUUCUUCCAGUAUUCAAAACCCGCGGGCAGAGUUCUUACCAACUGACUUGAGUCAGCCUCCCGGAACCACAGCGAUCCUAGCCCAACAUACCCUAACUGUUUUACAGAUGGGGAAACAGGAUCAGCAGGAACAGCUCUCUGGUCCUCAGCUUACCCAGCUGUCAAAUGAUGGAGUCAUGUGUGAUAUGCCAGAUUCCUUCCAGCUUCCAUAGAUAUACAGAGGUUUUUACUUUCACUAAGAUGCAUUAAUUCAA